AUGCUCACUUCAGCAGCACAUACACUAAAAUUGGAAUGAUACAGAGAAGAUUAUCAUGGCACCUGCAAAGGAUGACGUGUAAAUUCAUGAAGCAUUUCAUAUUGUU